UUAGACAUGAAGGAAUAAAAAUAUAUAAGGCAUGCAGAACAAAAUUUUAAGAAGACAAGGCCAAUUCCCAUAUCUUCAAAGAAGAAGCAUCUUUUCUGGUGACCCAACUUUUCAGUUCCAUAGCUCUCAAACCAAUCGAAGCUGCUGCAUGAGCUGCUCGAUUUGCACAUCUAGGCACAUAUGGUGAAUUUAGGGAAUGGAUGCCCUGCAAGUUGAAACUCAAAUCUCUUUUCAAGGUCCCUUCUCCUACCCACCCACUACAAUCCACCCUCUCUUUCUUACAACCCAGCAAAAUACCCGACAUUAUACCACCUAUUCAAAUCUGCCGAUCUCUCUCUCUUAAGCUCAACCCCAAAUCUCAUCGAUCCACACAACCCAACGUUAGGCAUCUCCUCCCUCUGUCUCUGAGGCCAAACGAAAAUUCAAUCCCAAGCGUGCAAAAUUGUGCAUCCCGUCUUGGUUAGUAGAAAGGUCUCUCCACCUUUUGCCUUUAGCGACGCCGACCACACAUUCAUCUCGCAAUCCCUCCACAAGCACAUCAAAAGCAGUUUUUUUCAAUAUCAAACUAGCUCAAAACUGAGGCAGGAGUAAAGUCUGACAAACAGAAAAAAG